CUGUUCUCUGGAACCUCCUCAAGCCAAGGAUGAGACACAAGCCUGAGCUCUGGGCCCAUGGUCCUAGCUUGUCUUUGAAGUAUGAGGCUGGUGACUGGAGUAACUGUGUUUCUGACCUUGGAGAAUCAGGCUCCAGCGACUGCGUAGCAAGAAUGAAAGCGGAAGCACUGCCAGCUGGUGUCCUGCUCAAUAUUUUGAGACACUUACCCUGGGCUCCUUGCCGCCCUCUAGUGAUCAUGGAUUAAAUUGCGGGGAAGUCUAGUCACGUGCAUUAUGCGCCUGUAGAAUCCCACGGACUGAGGACCCCGGCUGGCUACAGUCCAAAGGGUUUCAAAGAUUGAGCAAUAACAUCUUGCAUGUGAUGAUUUUGACUGGCAAGUAAUAGGCUACCUUGGAAAGGAAGCUCAGAAUUAUUGCAUAAAGGGCUGUUUUCUUUUUCCCUUCUUCUGAUCUAGGCUGCAGAACGUUCCUCUCCUGAGGAUACUUGAUCAGGAUAAAUGAAGAGGAACACUUUGCCAGCCUCAUGGCUGAUCCUGUGGCUUCAUCUUGGCCGAGUGAGCAGCCUCUUGACUGUGGAACAGCGUCCUCCCUUGCUGUGGGUUCAGGAAUGAGAGAGCACCAAUUUCACCUGCAGUUUCCCUUCCAGCUCUUUCUAUGCUUUACACUGGUACAGAUGGGAACCUGUAAAGAGCCCCAAGAACUUGUUUGUAAUAAGUGUAAAUGGGGAUGAAAAUAAGCAAGGAUGAGUGAGAGUCACUCUGAAUACUAAGGAGGGCUACAGCUCCAUGUACGUCAGAGGAUCCCAGCCUGAAGACUCAGCCACCUACCUCUGUGCCUCCACACAGUGCCCCUCAGCCCUCUGCAGCCCAUACCCAAACCCAUGCCUGCUGCUGCUCUGGGACCAGCAUUGACGAAGAGCCAUUGUCUGGAGGAAAAGGGAAAUUCAAUGAAUGACUGUUUUUGGUAAUCAGGGGGAAAUGCAGACAUAAAUAAACAGGCAUUCCAGUCACUGUAGCUUCCUCAACUAACUGGACAGUUCCUAAACAUCACUAAUAUCCACUACCACCAGUAUAUUGGCCAUAUCAUUAAUUCUAAUUCCUAGCCUCCUCUUUUCCCAUGAUCCCAAGUGAACUAGAUAGUACUCAAACCUCUCUAAAAUAAUGUGGUUAUACCUGGAUAUUAUUUACCCUUCACUGUUGCUACAUCCUAAGAGCUAGUCUUUAUGGUAUUUCCUUAUGUGCAUGAAUGUAAUAUUGGGAUAUGCUGUCUCACACAUCUGGCAUGGAAGUCUGCAUGUUUUAUACCAGAACAGUCAAUUCUGUCUCAUUUAACUCAUUGGAGAUUUUGGUUUUGCUUUAGUUCAAACUUCCCACUACAUGGACAUCUAUAUGUCAUUUCUUUACUAUGUGGCUGUUUUGCAUUUU